UUGAACGCUGGCGGCAGGCCUAACCCCUGCAAGCCGCGCGGAUGAAGGGAGCUUGCUCCUGGAUUCAGCGGCGGACGGGUGAGUAAUGCCUAGGAAUCUGCCUGGUAGUGGGGGAUAACGUCCGGAAACGGGCGCUAAUACCGCAUACGUCCUGAGGGAGAAAGUGGGGGAUCUUCGGACCUCACGCUAUCAGAUGAGCCUAGGUCGGAUUAGCUAGUUGGUGGGGUAAAGGCCUACCAAGGCGACGAUCCGUAACUGGUCUGAGAGGAUGAUCAGUCACACUGGAACUGAGACACGGUCCAGACUCCUACGGGAGGCAGCAGUGGGGAAUAUUGGACAAUGGGCGAAAGCCUGAUCCAGCCAUGCCGCGUGUGUGAAGAAGGUCUUCGGAUUGUAAAGCACUUUAAGUUGGGAGGAAGGGCAGUAAGUUAAUACCUUGCUGUUUUGACGUUACCAACAGAAUAAGCACCGGCUAACUUCGUG
rnacentral:rRNA from 1 species